AUUGAGCGCUGGCGGCAGGCCUAACACAUGCAAGUCGAACGGUAACAGGAAGAAGCUUGCUUCUUUGCUGACGAGUGGCGGACGGGUGAGUAAUGUCUGGGAAACUGCCUGAUGGAGGGGGAUAACUACUGGAAACGGUAGCUAAUACCGCAUAACGUCGCAAGACCAAAAAGGGGGACCUUCGGGCCUCUUGCCAUCGGAUGUGCCCAGAUGGGAUUAGCUAGUAGGUGGGGUAACGGCUCACCUAGGCGACGAUCCCUAGCUGGUCUGAGAGGAUGACCAGCCACACUGGAACUGAGACACGGUCCAGACUCCUACGGGAGGCAGCAGUGGGGAAUAUUGCACAAUGGGCGCAAGCCUGAUGCAGCCAUGCCGCGUGUAUGAAGAAGGCCUUCGGGUUGUAAAGUACUUUCAGCGGGGAGGAAGGGAGUAAAGUUAAUACCUUUGCUCAUUGACGUUACCCGCAGAAGAAGCACCGGCUAACUCCGUG
rnacentral:rRNA from 1 species